GCCGUAGCUCAGUGACAGAGCAACUGCUUUGCAUGCAGAAGGCCCCAGAUUCAAUCCCUAGCAUCUCCA
rnacentral:tRNA from 1 species